UAUCUAUCUACUAAUGAAAAUGUAAGGUUUUAUUUAAACUUAUAUA
rnacentral:tRNA from 1 species